rnacentral:lncRNA from 1 species
CAGGAGUUUGAGAGACCAGCCUGGGCAACAUAGUGAUAUGUUAUCUCAAAAAAAAAAAAAAAAGAAAGAAAGAAGGAAGGAAGGAAGGAAGGAAAGAGAGAAAAAAGAAAGCCAGGUAAAUAGUAAGUGCUCAAUUAGUAUUAGCAGGAAGAGUAUUUGUGCUGCCAGGAAAAAGGAUGAUGCAUCAGAAGAGAUCUCUGCUUCAGGCUCUGAUGGUUCCAUGGGAAGUACUGAUUUCUCACCACUAGAAUCAUUGAUGAUCCUGUGAUCAUGGUAUCUCCCCUGCCAGGGCAUGAGAUUGAAGAGGGAGACCCAGGCAUCUCAGAUCAACUUCCCCUUUGACUGUCACACUGCAUUUCAAUAGAAGAAAAGGCUGACCGACUGGCGCCUCCUGUUUUACCUUCCUGUAGGUGGCAGGCUUGGUCUUGGGCAAACUCUCCGGAAGGCACUAUUUUUACUUAAAACAAGAUCAAACCAGAAACCUUUUCACAUGUGAGUCCUAAAACUGUAAACCAGAACCCUUUCAUAUGUGAUUCCUAAAACUGUAAACAGAGACCUUUUCACAUGUGAGUCCUAAAACUGUAAACCAGAACCCUUUCAUAUGUGAUUCCUGAAACUGUAAACCGAAACCUUUUCACAUGUGAGUCUUAAAACUAUGAACCAAAACGCUUUCAUAUGUGAUUCCUGAAGCUGUAAACCGAAACCCUUUCAUAUGUGAUUUCUAAAGCUAUAAACCUAAGAUUCUUCCAUGUGUAAUAUCUAAAGUAUAAGGCAGGACCUCCCUUUGUUAGAUGAGCUGAAUUUGGACAUACCAUUUCCUCAGCUCCCAGCUGUAAUAAAAAACCCUUUCCUUUCCCAAUCAGCGUUCGAGAGCUCUGUUUCUCGUGGCCGAUCCUGCUACAUUUUUGGUGCAUUGGCUGGGAAGCAAGUUUUGGCUGGCAGAGGGCAGGAAAAAGUCUCUCAGGUGGUUUGCCUAGCCCUAGCGGCCUCCUGCGGGAGGCCUCCUACUCAUUGGGGUGACGCAUCCUGAGAGCGCUCCUGGGCAGGUAUUUGUCUGGUGGAAAAGCCUCGCCAGAGCGGAGCAAGGAGGCUCUGCAGUGUGGAUCCACCCAGUGGCUGA